AGGACGAACGCUGGCGGCGUGCUUAACACAUGCAAGUCGAGCGGAAAGGCCCUUCGGGGUACUCGAGCGGCGAACGGGUGAGUAACACGUGAGCAACCUGCCCCUGGCUCUGGGAUAGCCUCCGGAAACGGGGAUUAAUACCGGACAUUCACUUCCUUCCGCAUGGUUGGUGGUGGAAAGUUUUUCGGCCGGGGAGGGGCUCGCGGUCUAUCAGCUUGUUGGCGGGGUAACGGCCCACCAAGGCGACGACGGAUAGCCGGCCUGAGAGGGCGAUCGGCCACACUGGGACUGAGACACGGCCCAGACUCCUACGGGAGGCAGCAGUGGGGAAUAUUGCACAAUGGGCGCAAGCCUGAUGCAGCGACGCCGCGUGGGGGAUGAAGGCCUUCGGGUUGUAAACCCCUUUCUACCAGGAGCGAAUUCAGACGGUACCUGGGGAAGAAGCGCCGGCUAACUACGCGCCAGCAGCCGC
rnacentral:rRNA from 1 species